rnacentral:rRNA from 1 species
CCUACGGGAGGCAGCAGUGAGGAAUAUUGGUCAAUGGGCGCGAGCCUGAACCAGCCAAGUAGCGUGAAGGAUGACUGCCCUACGGGUUGUAAACUUCGUUUAUAAAGGAAUAAAGUGAGGCACGUGUGCCUUUUUGUAUGUACUUUAUGAAUAAGGAUCGGCUAACUCCGUUCCAGCAGCCGCGGUAAUACGGAGGAUCCGAGCGUUAUCCGGAUUUAUUGGGUUUAAAGGGAGCGUAGAUGGGUUGUUAAGUCAGGUGUGAAAGGUUGCGGCUCAACCGUAAAAGUGCCAUUGAUACUGGCAGUCUUGAGUACAGUUGAGGUAGGCGGAAUUCGUGGUGUAGCGGUGAAAUGCGUAGAUAUCACGAAGAACUCCGAUUGCGAAGGCAGCUUACUAAACUGCAACUGACAUUGAUGCUCGAAAGUGUGGGUAUCAAACAGGAUUAGAUACCCGUGUAGUC